CCGAGUAACGGGCCUAACGGUCCGCCUCCCACCCACUGUGUAUUGACUUGUGCUCUGGCGGGAAACCGUCGGGGUCAAUCAACUCUUGUCCUUUUGGACUUAUGAAAAAAUCAA
rnacentral:misc_RNA from 1 species